UACGUAGGCAGCGAGCGUUGUUCGGAGUUACUGGGCGUAAAGGGUGUGUAGGCGGUUCUUUAAGUUUGGGGUGAAAUCUCCCGGCUCAACCGGGAGGGUGCGCCGGAUACUGAGGGACUAGAGUGCGGGAGAGGAAAGUGGAAUUCCUGGUGUAGCGGUGAAAUGCGUAGAUAUCAGGAGGAACACCGGUGGUGUAGACGGCUUUCUGGACCGGAACUGACGCUGAGACACGAAAGCGUGGGUAGCAAACAGG
rnacentral:rRNA from 1 species